rnacentral:lncRNA from 1 species
CCCAGGACGUGAACCAUCCUCUCAGUUCCGCACAUCCCACCUGUUAAUCACUUGGUUAUCAAAUUGCUGAGGUAUCACAAUGCUUGUGUCCAAGCGACCCUUGUUUUACUUAAUAAUGGCCCCGGAGUGCAAGAGUAGUGAUGCUGGCAAUUCGGAUCUGCCAAGGAGAAGCCAUAAAGUGCUUCCUUUAAGUGAGAAGGUGAAAGUUUUCAACUUAAUAAAGAAAUAUAAACAUUGUAUGUUGACGAUGCUGAGAUCUAUGGUAAGAACAAAUCUUCUACCCAUGGCAUUGUGAAGGACAAAGAAAUUCAUGCUAGAUUUGCUCUCACACCUCAAACUGAAAAAACGAGUGAGUGAUAAGUGCUUAGUUAAGAUGGUAAAGGCAUGAAACGUGUACAAUAAGAUAUUUUGAGAGAGACCACGUUCACAUAGCUUUUAUUAAAGUUUUUUAAAAUUUUUAUUAUUGUUGCAAUUGUUCUCUUUUAUUAUUACUAGUUAUUGUUAAUCUUUUACUGUGCCGAAUUUAGAAAUUAAACUUUAUCAUAAGUAUGUAUGUAUAGGAAAAAACGUGGUAUGUACAGGGUUUGGUACUACCCAUGGUUUCAGGCAUUCUAAAAUUCUUCCGCCACUCAGUUUUCCUCUGGGCUUCAUUGAGACUGUGUUCUGCAGCAGUGAUCUUCAAACUUUCUAAUUAGAGAUCAUCUGAAAUAGUUUUGAAAAGCUAUCUACCCCAGUAGACAUCUUGAAGUUAACAUCUGAAGUUUCUUAUCAUAAGUUGAUUUGUACAGUUAUCAUUCGCAGUAUGUUACAAAUACUUAGACUUUCAAAGAAAAAUGUUUACCUGAAUCCAGUGAUGUUGGGAAGCUGGGCGAGGAUUCCCUGCAAAUUACCUGUGCUCACAUCUUUUCUAGUGUUUGGGUUUCUAGGUUUGAGAAUUUCUGGUUGUUAAGCAGGAAAAAUAAAAAAACCAAAACCAAAAUUUCACUAAGGAUCUUUAAAAAGGAUUCUUUUAUUUGUACCUAGAAUUUUCCCAGUAUGAACUUUGCACAGCUUCUCAGUGGGUACAUGUGAAGCUUUACAAACUUCAGAAAUGUCAGUGGCAUACAUUGCAGUCUACUGAAGAUAUGAAGUGUUCCAUCACAUUUGAGAUACUUUUUAAUGGAAUUAUGGUUUUAUGUAACACUAAGAGAAAAAACACUUCCAAAUAAACUAUGAUGUAAUGCUUUCAUAGCCAUGGAAUUUUAACUUUAUACUUAAUGAAAGAGCUCUUUUUGGCAGAUACAGACACAUAUUUUUACCAUAUAUCAUGAUACUGUAAUAGUUUGGGGAUACAGCCCAGUGACAUCUGCCUUUCAGCUGCCUCCUGGCUGACAGUGAUUGCAAAAUGCCACUGAUUGCAAGGCGUACUCUGAUUUCAGAGACGCGAAAAUGUGAAGAAAAUACGCAUGUUAGAAUCAGUUCAAUACGGUAAGUCGCUCAUCAAGACAAAAAGGAUCCUGAAGGCCAGAAAGCCAAACUCCAAGACAUCAACCGAGUGAAAACACCUUUUCUGUGUGUGGCUGUCUUUACAGAAAACAAAACGUGGCUCUUAUUAUAAGUUAUCUCGGAGCACUUAAAUAACAAGGGCAAGGUACAUUUCAUUUUAAUUGCUCUUUCAUGGUCUUCUUGGCCUUUUUCCUGGCUCAGAAGUGGCAGAGUUAGGGCAGGAUCUUGGUGCGUGGGACUAUGGCUGGGCCCAGGCGGGAUCCCUGCAGCUUGACGAUGUCUAGUAUCUCUGUUGUGAAAACCACUUAGCACCGUCUUGUGUGAGGCUGGGCCUUCAAUGGCGCUGUUUGUUCUUUGUAAGUGGGCUAACAGAGGCAGCCUUUCUCCUUGUCAUGGCUUAGCUUAGUUUUAACAUAUUCAGUGUAUCCUUUUUUUGACUGAAGGGCCUACGAGUGGGAGGAACGGAGAUUGAACUGCUUUCCUAGUUUUUCUUUGACAUAGUAUUCGAGAGGCUCAGCGAGAUGAAUAAAGACGCCGCAGGAAGUACAUUAUGUGGGGAAUCAAUGAAUGAAAACAAUCUAGAUUUGUCAUCCAGGAAUUGUGCAUCUCUGAUUCUAAUGACACUCAUGAUGAUAUAAGAGAUUUACAAGAGGAAUCAAAAUGAAAAGGUUUCAUGUAAUGAGAAGACUAAGAGAACCCAAACCUAAGACUUAAGGGUCUUUUGAGGGCUCAAAAGCUGGGCUCCUCGCUUGGUUUAAUAGGUUGCAAAAUUAAAUUACAAGCAUUGCCUUUUCUAAUGUUGUGCCCUGAAUUCUGUCAGUACUCAUGAAUCUAUAGUUGUCGAAGCACCUAACGGGCGUGGCAGUACUUGUGCUGAGUCCCCCAUUUAUUCACAGGAUCCAGGGCAUCUUCUGUCUCUUUAUUUUCUCAUCUGUGAAAUGGCAAUGACAUUACACCCACCUUCCUUAACCCCAGAUGAAGCUAAUCACUAGAAUCGGAUUGAAAUGCCCAUGGAGUUAUUGCCCUCCCCAGCAUGGAGUCUGGGCAGCCCCCAGAUCUGCCUGGGGUCCUGGGGAUCUGAGUUGGGCUCAGCAGUGAGGUUGUAGAGCAGAUAUCCCAGGGCAUCGGAGCUGGGAAAUCAGUGCCCCUGUAAUCUCAAGAGCUUGAUCAGUGCCUCUCACUGCUGCCCAAAGGGCUGGGUCAAGCUCCUGGAUGGAAGUCACUGCUGUGUAGACAGGGCUAGAGGGCUGAGAAGAGAGGAGAAGGGAGUGCAGCCCGGAAACAUUCUCUGGGCACCUGGCAUGUAGUUCCAGUGGCCUUUUCUAGGGCCCGGGUGCUACAUCCCAAGUUGGAGAGGGCAUGGCCACGGGUGCCGGGACCUUGAGACUGCCACGGGAGCUUUCUGAUUGCCAAGAAAACGGAAUUGUGUUCAGAGUUGCCAUGAUCUGAGUAAGAAAAGGAGCCUUCUGUCUCCAUUGUGUGAAGGAGCUCAUUUUCCUGGAUGUAAAGGGGAAAAUGGCAUAAUACAGACCUUGAGGAAACCAGGAAAUACCAUAUGGAUAUACAUGGCCAAAUACUAUGGCUUUUAAGUAUGGAGGAUGCCUGUCAGUGACUUCGUGGUACCGCCCUGAGAGUCUUAUUUAAACAACUAUAGGCUUUUGCUCUAAUGCAAAGGAGGGAGGGAAAGGAGCACUUCAAAUGAGGUCACAGAAAAUGUCAUUUGAAAUAUCUUGGCAAUGUCCUCUGUUGCUGAUGGCGUACGGUGAUCGACAUUUUGCCUUAUUUCGCAUACCGGAGAGAGCCGAAGAUUUCGUUUCUUGUGUGUGGCAAAAGCUUUGUAGGAAUGCAUGUCCAAGAGAAGGCUGUUUAUUCCCCGCCUAAGAUGAUACAGCGUGUUUGGUUUCAUGUCUCUACUGGGAAAUGGAAGGGUUAACGUGUUGUGCACGGGAUGAAUUGGCCAGGAUAUAUUUGCAGUAUUUUGAUAUUUUUGCACUGGAGUUUGCAGUCUAGGUUCAGUCUGCAGCAAAGGCUGUGCAUCGGGUAAACCAGUGGCAAACAGCCAAUGUCUGGGCUAUGACUGGUCCAGAUCUGAGACUCCCAGCUGCCCAGCAACUUGGCUUGGGGAGGUUGCGUGACAGCCUGAAUCAGGACUGGAGACAGGGGAUAAGGAUGAUGAUUGGUCAACUGCAUCUGUGCUGAAGAGCUUGCCACUGAGCACAUGUGUUUUGAGAGGCUUUCAUCACAAGCAAGCCUGAGAGGGAAGUUGGCUGUUGCACGCGGAGGUCUGGGUACAGGCAUAAAGACGCCUGUAUGUGAGAGGAUGAGGAGCAGGGAGGGUGUGGGGGGGGUUUUGUGAACUAGAGGGAAGCGGGUUAUCUGUUCAGGUGCUUGUACCUGACUUCAGUCAAUCCCCACUCAGGUUGGAAUUGGAGCUUUUUGAGCUAAUGGUGACACUGCCUGAAAUUCUGAAUGUGUGUUGCCACAUCGCCCAAGAGAGGCCACACAUGUUGGCCAAGGCGGGUUGGGAACUCUGCAACGACCUCAUUUAUAAUAUUGGAAACUUUACAGCACUUCUCUUACGACUCAAGUUGAAACUGAGGACUGGAGAAAGGAGGAUGAUAAUAUAGUCACAGAGGUGCAAGGACCCUACGAGGACAUUUGGUGUAAUCUCUGUACCUCAAUUGUGAAAUCGCUGAUAAAUGGUUUCUCCUAUUUCUGCUUGAACGUCUCUAGGAAUGGGGAACUCGGUGGUUGCUGAGGCAGCCCAUUCCGUCUGUGGACAUCUUCCUCAGCGCUGCCUCCUGACUGGACUGAAAUCUGCCUCCCUGGGAGGCGCAUUCUGACCUCUGGGGCGAGUUGCCUUCUAGUGACACAUGGCCCUUUUGAUCAUUGAAGACAUUUAACUCUUCUCUUGCCCUAGCUUAGGCUCUGUCAUUCCGCACUUGAUGAUUUGGCCUGUGUUACCCUUGUUUCCCUCCUCUUGACCAUCCAGGUCGCCAGGGUCCCAAAGUCUUGGACAGUAUUCCUGGUGUAGGUGGAUCAUUUGUUCCUUAAUCAGAACACCGUUCCUUCGUUGACCACAUUUGACAUUUAUGGUCAGGUUGCACUGUGGACUCAUCCAGAGUUUCCAGACAGUCUAAAUGCAGCCGGAAGAUGCCCUAAACCUGCCUCACUAAGUACAACAGGGAUAGCCAAGGCUUCUGACCAAAAGUCUUUCCCUCACUGAAAAUUACGUCAUAAUGGCACAGGGAAAGAUGAAGUGGGGGGAAGACAGUUGUCUCUUGUUGAGAGCUGUAGUAUUUCUUCUCAAUGUUGUUUAUCUAAAUACCGUUUCAUAUGGACUCUGGAAGCCUGAGAAAAUUAUGGAAAAGUGAACCUUAAAUGAUAUUGAGGAAUUGUAUUCAUCACAUGUAUUACACACAGUCAAGUGGGAGUGAACUUGAAACUUCCUCUCUCUCUUUCUGCCCCCCCCCCCCCCCCCCCGCCAAGUCUCAGGAAGGAACAAGACUACCUGCAAGUCGAGGAAAAGAGGAUUUGGUCACUUCAAAUAGAACAACUGAUUUUUUUUCUUCCUUUAGAUUUUAGCUAAAUAAUUUUAACUACAUGGGCUGAAAACUGUGAUAUAUUCCAUGUAGAAGGAACUGAAUAAUAAUCCACAGUAGAAUGUGAAGAAGAUGUGUUGUGGUGGAUUCAUGCUUCCUAUAAUUGAAUGAGAGCCGGAUCUAGUGUGAUAUUACUUUUAUGAGAAUGUUCACAUUCCUCCUGGGUUUAACCAGCACACAUCGCAAUGAUUUCUCACUCAAAAUUACGUAAUUAACUCUCCAUGCAAGGGUUAAACUCAAAAUUAUGAAAAGAAGGGUGAUCGCUAUGGCGUAUGGUGUAUUUAUGGAGAUAAUAGAACAGACUGUUUGGUAUUGGGAAUGUUCUGGAAAGAAGAGCCAUGUGGGUGAAGACUUUGCUCACAUUGUAUCAUGUUUAUGAUUAAGUAUUCUGAUGGCUCCUUCCCUUAGCAUUUACUAUAGGUACUGCUCUUUCUGCUUCUCUUCUCGGUGCUGGAAUUCCUACAGUUUCAAACCUGGUUCCCUGUCUUUGCCCUACCUUUAAUGUUCUGCAGAAAGUAGCAUGUAAGCUUCAGAUGCAACACUGAACUCAUUUAAAAAAGGAAAGAUAAAUACAUUUUCCUUGCAUUUCCAAAGAUGUCCACUAUAAGUGCAUGGGGUGGUGGUUUUUUUAGUAGGAAAAAGAAUAAAUGCAAUAAAAAGGGUUAUUUAGAUAAAGGAUGGGAUGAGCUGGGUUUGGUGAUUUUUCACAGUUUGGAACACUGGACCAGUGAACAAAGAAUGGUGUUGGAAUGCCACAGUCAUGGUGAGCAUAUGAAGCCAGGUCUAAGGACUUGGACCUUUCUUUUCUCUCUGCUGGCAGUGGGAAGUGUUGCCUGUGCCCAACUGCUUUCCCUAGGAGCAGGACUUGGCCGUGAGCAACAACAUUCCUCUGGUACCCUGGCCUCUGUGGCCACAUCCCAUCCCCGCCCUGGCCUCUGCUGUCCCUCUCAGUGGCCAACAGCCUGUAAAUAGGCAAUAGAGUGUGUGAUGAUGACAAUGCCUUGCACCAUUAAAGGCACUCGAGGAGCCUUUUCAGCAUUUUUAUAACUGAGAUAAGACAAAUGUAAAGCAUUAACCUCCACUCCAGAAGAAACCAUCUCAUUUUUCAUUUUAAUGAAACUUUAUUAAAAUUGUGCGCUUAAAAUUUAACUUGAGGGAGUUCCUGUUGUGGCUCGGCGUGUUACAAACCCAACUAGUAUCCAUGAGGAUGCAGGUUCGAUCCCUGGCCUCGCUCAGUGGGUGAAGGACCCGGCGUUGCCGUGAGCCGUGGUGUAGUUCGCAGACGCGGCUUGGAUUUGGUGUUGCUCUGGCUGUGGUGUAGGCUGGCAGCUGUAGCUCCGGUUGGACCCCUCGCCUGGGAACUUCCAUACGUCUCGGGUGCG